AGUCGAGGGGUAUAGUUCUUCGGAACUAGAGACCGGCGCACGGGUGCGUAACGCGUAUGCAAUCUACCUUUUACAGAGGGAUAGCCCAGAGAAAUUUGGAUUAAUACCUCAUAGUAUAAUGACCUGGCAUCAGGAUAUUAUUAAAGUCACAACGGUAAAAGAUGAGCAUGCGUCCCAUUAGCUAGUUGGUAAGGUAACGGCUUACCAAGGCUACGAUGGGUAGGGGUCCUGAGAGGGAGAUCCCCCACACUGGUACUGAGACACGGACCAGACUCCUACGGGAGGCAGCAGUGAGGAAUAUUGGACAAUGGGCGCAAGCCUGAUCCAGCCAUGCCGCGUGCAGGAUGACGGUCCUAUGGAUUGUAAACUGCUUUUAUACGAGAAGAAACACUACUUCGUGAAGUAGCUUGACGGUAUCGUAAGAAUAAGGAUCGGCUAACUCCGUGCCAGCAGCCGCGGUAAUACGGAGGAUCCAAGCGUUAUCCGGAAUCAUUGGGUUUAAAGGGUCCGUAGGCGGUUUAGUAAGUCAGUGGUGAAAGCCCAUCGCUCAACGGUGGAACGGCCAUUGAUACUGCUGAACUUGAAUUAUUAGGAAGUAACUAGAAUAUGUAGUGUAGCGGUGAAAUGCUUAGAGAUUACAUGGAAUACCAAUUGCGAAGGCAGGUUACUACUAAUUGAUUGACGCUGAUGGACGAAAGCGUGGGUAGCGAACAGGAUUAGAUACCCUGGUAGUCCACGCCGUAAACGAUGGAUACUAGCUGUUGGGCGCAAGCUCAGUGGCUAAGCGAAAGUGAUAAGUAUCCCACCUGGGGAGUACGUUCGCAAGAAUGAAACUCA
rnacentral:rRNA from 1 species